rnacentral:rRNA from 1 species
ACGCUCGACACCUACGGGAGGCAGCAGUUGGGAAUAUUGGACAAUGGAGGAAACUCUGAUCCAGUGACGCCGCGUGAAGGAAGAAGGUCUUCGGAUUGUAAACUUAUUUUGUCAGGGAAGAAAAAAUGACUGUACCUGAAGAAAAAGCACCGGCUAACUACGUGCCAGCAGCCGCGGUAAUCUGAGCGGGCUGGCAAGGC